rnacentral:rRNA from 1 species
GACGAACGCUGGCGGCGUGCUUAACACAUGCAAGUCGAACGGAAAGGCCCUGCUUUUGUGGGGUGCUCGAGUGGCGAACGGGUGAGUAACACGUGAGUAACCUGCCCUUGACUUUGGGAUAACUUCAGGAAACUGGGGCUAAUACCGGAUAGGAGCUCCUGCUGCAUGGUGGGGGUUGGAAAGUUUCGGCGGUUGGGGAUGGACUCGCGGCUUAUCAGCUUGUUGGUGGGGUAGUGGCUUACCAAGGCUUUGACGGGUAGCCGGCCUGAGAGGGUGACCGGCCACAUUGGGACUGAGAUACGGCCCAGACUCCUACGGGAGGCAGCAGUGGGGAAUAUUGCACAAUGGGCGGAAGCCUGAUGCAGCAACGCCGCGUGCGGGAUGACGGCCUUCGGGUUGUAAACCGCUUUCGCCUGUGACGAAGCGUGAGUGACGGUAAUGGGUAAAGAAGCACCGGCUAACUACGUGCCAGCAGCCGCGGUGAUACGUAGGGUGCGAGCGUUGUCCGGAUUUAUUGGGCGUAAAGGGCUCGUAGGUGGUUGAUCGCGUCGGAAGUGUAAUCUUGGGGCUUAACCCUGAGCGUGCUUUCGAUACGGGUUGACUUGAGGAAGGUAGGGGAGAAUGGAAUUCCUGGUGGAGCGGUGGAAUGCGCAGAUAUCAGGGGGAACACCAGUGGCGAAGGCGGUUCUCUGGGCCUUUCCUGACGCUGAGGAGCGGAAGCGUGGGGAGCGAACAGGCUUAGAUACCCUGGUAGUCCACGCUGUAAACGGUGGGUACUAGGUGUGGGGUCCAUUCCACGGGUUCCGUGCCGUAGCUAACGCUUUAAGUACCCCGCCUGGGGAGUACGGCCGCAAGGCUAAAACUCAAAGGAAUUGACGGGGCCCCGCACAAGCGGCGGAGCAUGCGGAUUAAUUCGAUGCAACGCGUAGAACCUUACCUGGGUUUGACAUGGAUCGGGAGUGCUCAGAGAUGGGUGUGCCUCUUUUGGGGUCGGUUCACAGGUGGUGCAUGGCUGUCGUCAGCUCGUGUCGUGAGAUGUUGGGUUAAGUCCCGCAACGAGCGCAACCCUUGUUCACUGUUGCCAGCACGUUAUGGUGGGGACUCAGUGGAGACCGCCGGGGUCAACUCGGAGGAAGGUGGGGAUGACGUCAAGUCAUCAUGCCCCUUAUGUCCAGGGCUUCACGCAUGCUACAAUGGCUGGUACAGAGAGUGGCGAGCCUGUGAGGGUGAGCGAAUCUCGGAAAGCCGGUCUCAGUUCGGAUUGGGGUCUGCAACUCGACCUCAUGAAGUCGGAGUCGCUAGUAAUCGCAGAUCAGCAACGCUGCGGUGAAUACGUUCCCGGG